AAAUGUUUCUAUCUAUUUUUGCCUAUGUAUAUAAAGGAUUCAUCCAUUCAGCGAUUCUCAUGCAUUAUCAAGACGUGCUGCUGACUGCUGAGUAAGAUCCGGGCUUUAACAUAAAUUAUGAUUUAUCGCUUUCUUGUGGUGUCUGCCCUGAUCUUCUGUACGGCCAGCAUGUCCCUCGUGGGUCCGUUCAAUGCGCCCUACAACUGGGCGCCCACAAAGGAACACUUUCGUAACAUAGAAGAUCUGUACAGGUACAUUCAGCGCUUAAAGACGUACAAGUUCUUCGCUCGCCACCGAUUCUCAAGACCCAGGUUUGCUUGAGAUCUAAGCUCUGUACAGACAAGUAAUGCAUUUGGACAGAAGGUUUCGUUUCCAUGACAGUUACAUGUUUGUUCUGGUGAAAUUUUGUCAAUUAAAUGUUUCCUACUAC